CAGUGACACAGCAGUGUGUUACCUGACAACAGCAUAAUGUGAGGCAAGGUCCAGCUGUUCCACCCAGCAUACAAGCUUAUGGAGCAGCCCCCUUUGAAGAUCUCCAGGUGGACUUCACAGAGAUGCCAAAGUGUAGAGGUGAUUGAGUGUGGAUCAAGGACUGGAACAUAGCCUCUUUGUGCCCACAGUGGAAAGACCCCAGACUGUCAUCCUGACGUCUCCCACCACUGUGAAGGUAGAGGGAAUCCCAGCCUGGAUCCACCAGAGCCAUGUAAAACCUGCAGUGCCUGAAACCUAGGAGGCAAGACCAUGCCUGGACAACCCUUGCAAAGUGACCCUGAAGAAGACCACAAGCUCUGCUCCAGUCACUCCCGGAAGCUGGCUGGUCCAUGCACAGCCAAAGCAUGAGGAAUCUCAUCGUGGGAUUCAUUUUUCUUAAAUUUUGGACUUAUACAGUAAAGGCUUCAACUGACAUUACUCAAACUGGGGACUGUUCCCAGUGUAUUCAUCAGGUUGCUGAGGUAGGAGAGCAAAUUAAAACAAUCUUUCUGUUCUAUAGUGAUUAUGAAUGUAUGGGAACAUUAAAAGAAACUUGUUUGUAUAAUGCCACUCAGUAAAAUGUAUGUAGCCCGGGAAAUGACCAACCUGAUGUGUGGUAAAACCCAUCUGAGCCCCCUGCAACCACUGUUUCUGAAAUAAGAUGAGGAACUGGCCUUUUCCUAAGUGAUACGAGUAAAAUAAUAACUAGAACAGAAGAAAAAGAAAUCCCCAAAGAAGUACAUUUAAGAUUUGAUGCUUGUGCAGCCAUUAAUAGUAAAAAGCUAGAAACAGGAUGUGGUUCUCUUAACUGAGAAAGGAGUUACAGAGUAGAAAAUAAAUAUGUUUAUCACAAGUCAGGGGUUUGUGAAAAUUGUGCCUUUUGUCCAUGUGUUAUUUGGGCUAGUUGGAAAAAGGACAAAAAAGACCCAGUUCAUCUUCAG
rnacentral:lncRNA from 10 species